GACGAACGCUGGCGGCGUGCUUAACACAUGCAAGUCGAACGGAAAGGCCCUGCUUUUGUGGGGUGCUCGAGUGGCGAACGGGUGAUUAACACGUGAGUAACCUGCCCUUGACUUUGGGAUAACUUCAGGAAACUUGGGCUAAUACCGGAUAGGAGCUCCUGCUGCAUUGUGGGGGUUGGAAAGUUUCGGCGGUUGGGGAUGGACUCGCGGCUUAUCAGCUUGUUGUUGGGGUAGUGGAUUACCAAGGCUUUGACGGGUAGCCGGCCUGAGAGGGUGACCGGCCACAUUGGGACUGAGAUACGGCCCAGACUCAUACGGGAGGCAGAAGAGGGGAAUAUUGCACAAUGGGCGGAAGCCUGAUGCAGCAAAGCCGCGUGCGGGAUGACGGCCUUCGGGUUGUAAACCGCUUUCGCCUGUGACGAAGCGUGAGUGACGGUAAUGGGUAAAGAAGCACCGGCUAACUACGUG
rnacentral:rRNA from 1 species